UACCUGCAGCUCAAGUGGUGACCAUUAUUAUUGGGCCUAAAACGUCCGUAGCCGGCUUAGUAAAUGCCUGGGUAAAUCGUGUAGCUUAACUAUACGAAUUCCGGGUAGACUGCUAAGCUUGAGACCGGGAGAAGCUAGAGGUACUCCUGGGGUAGAGGUGAAAUUCUGUAAUCCUAGGGGGACCACCAGUGGCGAAGGCGUCUAGCUAGAACGGAUCUGACGGUGAGGGACGAAGCCCUGGGGCACAAACCGGAUUAGAUACCCGGGUAGUCCAGGGUGUAAACGCUGCUUGCUUGAUGUUAGUUGGGCUCCGAGCCCAAUUAGUGUCGGAGAGAAGUUGUUAAGCAAGCUGCCUGGGAAGUACGAUCGCAAGAUUGAAACUUAAAGGAAUUGGGCGGGGAGCACAGCAACGGGUGGAGCGUGCGGUUU
rnacentral:rRNA from 1 species